UACGUAGGGACCAAGCGUUGUUCGGAUUUACUGGGCGUAAAGGGCGCGUAGGCGGCGAAUCAAGUCAGCUGUGAAAUCUCCGAGCUUAACUCGGAACGGUCAGCUGAUACUGUUUUGCUAGAGUGCAGAAAGGGCAACCGGAAUUCUUGGUGUAGUGGUGAAAUGCGUAGAUAUCAAGAGGAACACCUGAGGCGAAGGCGGGUUGCUAGGCUGACACUGACGCUGAAGCGCGAAAGCUAGGGUAGCAAACGGG
rnacentral:rRNA from 1 species